ensembl:lncRNA
UUAUAAAAGCGUCACGCUCGUCCUCUGAAAAGUACAGGACACUUGACCGACUCCGGAGAAAAAGUUCUGUUGUGUUUCGAAAGUUUUCAGCUAACUGCUCUGGAGAGGCUCGCGAACGCUUAAAAAGUACUUAGAAGGAUACCUGUGCGUAUGGUCGUGCUGUCAGCGUGCUCUCUCUCUCUCUCCUCGGGUUUAGCUUUGCCGUUUCUCUCGCCCAAGUCCGGCGAACAAGUUCUCCGCGGAAUAAUACCAAAAAAGUUAAUAAAAGUAGUUUGUACGCCUCUAAGAGAGAAUUUGAAACUCGUCUGCACUCCGUAUCCCUUCAGGUUUUCUACACAAUUGUGUAAAGAAACUUGGCGAAGUGCUGAGCUGUGCGUUUGUAUCCUUUCGAAUAGUUCGCCGCUUACUUUUCUACGGUCAGUAUACUGCGAGACCUUCCAGCGUGGAGGCAAACCUUAUCUGCUGCCUCCGCCCUAAAAAUAGCACUGAUGUCAUGUACCAAGUCUUCUAUUGGCUCUCAUCUUUGCGAUGGGCGGGCCCACUACUUUUCAGAUAAGGUGCGUUGCCUAGACGACCACCCAGAAGAUUCUUCUUCUCGCGGUGGUUCAUGGGAUGAGGUAAUGCUGUAAAACGAAGAACAGUGAAUUGUGGGAUUACGUUAUUGUUUUUGAAUAUCUGGUUACCCGCUUAACUGCACGAACUGCGGCUGCUUUUUCACGAAUAUUUUUGUUUUAUGUUAGAAGUAAUUAGCCAGUACAGAGAAAAAUUAUAUUGCUGUCUCGCAAAUAUUUUAAACACUGUAAAAAUGACUAAAUACUGUAAUUUAUACUCGUAGCGGUAUGAACUGAUAACCCUAGUUUGUUUUAGAAGUGUUGGUGUUUUGUAAAAACAUUUUAAAAGCUACUCAGAAACCCCAGUUGAGAAUUUAUGUGAUAAAUUAUCUCCCACGUCUGUAAACAGAAGCACACCAGGCAUGGACACUAUAUAUGUCGUGUCCAUCAGACUUCUGGAAAAGGGUCAAGUUCACUUCAAUUGGGAUAUGGAAUACCUCGUUAUUAUUAUACUUGAAUAUGCUCAUUCAGUGGCGUGAUAGAAAAGUCGAACUGUCAAUGAACUUUUACUUUAUUUUCCCUGUGUUCUUUGUUCCUAUUUUGCUUUACUUUUUAGGUGAUAAAAUACUAGGAUGUUCUGUUAAUCCUCCGAUAUUCCGCACCAUCGGUCCCUCUACAUGUCUGAAGUUGUCCGUGUCACGUGUGAAUACACUUAUGAUACAGUUUGAAAUAAUUUCACUUGCUCUUUCUUGUUUCAAUCCCAACAGUUAUCAACAAGACGUCUGGAGUUCCUGUUACGUUUAUUAUAAAGCGAAUGCUUUACAAACAGGGUCGCAGGGAACCAGAGCCAACCCGGUAACACAGGGCACAAGGCCGGAGGGGGAGGAGACACACCCAGGACGGGACGCCAGUCCAUCACAAGGCACCCCAAGCGGGACUCGAACCCCAGACCCACCGAAGAGUAGGACUGUGGUCCAACCCACUGCACCCCCAUCUUUUUCCACAUGUAUAUAUUCAUUAUUCAUCAUUCAUGCACCUCUAUAACUGUCAGGUUCUGCUCAGCUACAAAAUCAGGCUUCAGAAGAUUACAGUGGAUGGUCCGGAUGGCUGAAGGA